CGAAAAUCAGCACGGCAAAGCGUAGUUUUUGCCGCCGGUGCAAUCACCGUUCCUCUUGACUGUAGUUGCGCCAUUGUUGUGCAGUCCGGAGGAGUCUAUUGCCUCUUCACCUAGCUGUUCGAACAUUUUGGUAUCCUGGCGCUGAAUGCGUAUACGAAUCUUGAAACUUUGGAGGGUGUAUCUGCAAAUUGGAAGGAGGGAAAAUUCUGAAUCCCUAGACUUGCAAACGUUGCAGCAAAUAGAGUCUCCAGUACAAAUAUUGGAACCUAAGGAAUUUCUAAGUUCGUAUCCUCACCUUGAUUGGGAAUGGAAUUAAUUUGAGGACGUCACAUGCUCCUAAAUUUAUGCAAUUCACCAAAUUUUGUGAUUACAUUAGUCAACUAUCAAUGACGAAUUCGUUCUUUGUGGCUCACACACACACACAUCCUCAUGCGGAUUCUUUCGAAAUAUCCUCCUGCAAAGAAGAUGCCAACGGGGUAUGAAGGAUUUAGCCUCUUUUGCUUAGAAAAUGAAUCUAUGCGUAAGGGCCAUUAUUAAUUGAGACAGAGAGUUGCAGUAUCCUUCCGGCCUUUUCUCUGAAUCAACUUUUUGGCCUUGAUAUAGUCUUCUGCAGAAAGAUCUAGCAUCUUGGUUUUGCUCUUUUAUGAUCAUGGCUUCAUCUGCAACACCGAAGCACAUUUCAAUAACUCUAGUUGUUGACAAAGAUAAAAAUAAGGUUCUCUAUGCUGAAGCAGAGAGUGACUUCGUUGAUAUUUUAUUAAGCUUCUUAUCAUUGCCAUUGGGAACUGUUUCUGAACUCAUUAGUAAGGAUUCUACCGCACAGCCUUGCAGAUUUAACUGCAUAACCUCACUGUAUCAAUCAAAGUGUAAAAAAUCUGGAUCCAAAGUACUUUUAUUCGAAUGAGUAUAAAGGAAAGCUGCUGAAUCAACCAACCCAAUGGAAGCUUAUUCCGAAAAGCUGGUAUAUAACUUUGAUGACACACCAAUCUCAAAAGGCUUUAAUGGCUAUCUGCGCAAACCGGCAAGUUUUAUUGUUUCCGAUGAUCUACUGGCAUUGGCUAAUGAUUUGGAUACAACCUGGUGGAUACUGCACCAAAUUUUGGAAUUGACUUUGAUUCUGAAAGAUUGACUGUGAAUGUCACCCAGAAUGAGGUAUUGGAUCUACUGAAGUUCUCAUUAUGGUCGGGGACACCAUUGACAGAUUAUUCUUACGCAAAAAACUGCCCAUUCCGAACUCUCAAAUACCAGAGUCUGAGUUAGAGGUAAAUGAGAUAAAAGGCAAGGAGGGCAGGAAGAUGAAUCUGAGGUUAAUGGUAUUAAAAUCUCCACGCAAAAGUUGUUUGGUGAAGCAGGAGAGGAUUUCACAGAUCAGCUAUUAAGUUUCCUGACUAUUCCACUUGGUGCACUGGAACAUCUUGCACAAGGCAAGUUUUUCGUUUGGGCUGCAUUCUUUAAUUUGUACGAGAGCUUGCGUCGUUUGGAUCCAGCUAGAGAUUUUAGUUUGAAAUUUUAUGAUCUAAAGAACAAGCUCCUCAAUCCUCAUGUUGCCUUAAGUAAUGUCCAGAACCAGUUGCUUCCAAUUUAUAGGCCAGACCUGCCUUCAGAAAUUAGGCAUUUCGGUUAUACUAGAUGGAGGUCAUUGUUCCUAGUGGCAGAUAAUUUGUCACUUGUACCAUUCUCUCAGCAGGCUGCUUUAGCAAUUCUUCGUAAAUCCAAAGUUGAGGUGAAUGACUUAUUGGCAGUGAAGAUAAGCGUUGGGCUGAAUGAGGUGUUGGAUAUACUGGAGCUGCUAUAUUGACAUCAUCAGCCUUUACGCUGAGUUGAACCUGACGCUUCCUUGCGAUGAAGAAGAGACGUGUGAAGACGAUGAAGAGACAUGCCAAAGUAUGAAGAAGAGACAUGUGAAGACGAUGAAGAAGAGACUUGCGAAUGAUUGCUAAAUGCUGCAAUAGUAUUUGGAUUUCAAGUAGAAUUGAUGAUGUCAUUAUAUGAAGGUUUUUUUUUUUUUUUUGGUUUGCUCAUUUUCUUUCUUUUCCGUUGUUAUUGUGCUUGGUGUGAUGACCCGUUACAGAACAUGGAACACAUGUAUGCUUUUAAACUAUUGUUUUGCGUUUGAGUAACGUCGGAUGGGAUCCAAGUCAGAACCUUUAAUUAGCGUUAGAUAAUCUGCUUUGUUCGUACUUAUUUUUGGGUUAGUAUUACGGACAAUUAUUUUACCUUUUGGUAAAUCUAGAUCAGGCAAAUCCUUGUUUGAAUA